CUAUGAUACUUAAAUGUUUUAGCUGUGAGCAAAAUAAUAUGCAUUCUCAAAGAGAGUAUCUUCAGACUCCAGUGGCCGAGAAUCUAGAGUUAGCAAUGGAAAAAUUAGUCUCGGGCUUCUGUUUCUGCCCACAGUUUUCAAAUUAAGAACAAUGUGUUUGCACUUAAUGAAACAACCUCUACUGCUCUUCAAGAGGACUCAGGAUACCGAUUCUCGAGGCCCCUGGCGGUCCCCUUGGCAUAAAACACUUCAAUCACACGUAGCUUUCUGGAGCAACAGACCAUGGGCUGAGGAUUGAGUUUCCGGGAGCCACAGCAAGGCUCUCCAAUGCCAUCUUUCUGUCUCACUGCUGAAAGUCAAGAAUCACAGUGCUGAUCUUCAGAAACUGUGGGUUCAGAAACUCACCUGGUCACUAGAAUUACUCUCCCCACUUUACCUCUGCUACCCCGGAGAUCCCCGAGACCAGUCCCUUUUGGGGAGCCCUUGAUGGCAUCUUCACUAGUAGCCCUUUGGCUCACAUGGGAAUACCCCCAGGGACUCCUCGCAAGAGGGCUAUGAGGGAGGCUUCAUUAUUCUAGUGUUGAAGCCCAGAGUCUCAACCUAAUCAGCGCUUUCCUUCAAGUUCGAGCCUCCAGGAGGAGCCAAGGAGUUUCAACAGCGUUUCAAAGUUCGCAGUUUGUAUUCUGCUGCACCAGAGACAUCAUUGAAUCUUACAGCUGAUGCUACCUUCUUUCCCACACCUGGAUUCACCCAAAGUCCUGGAGAACAGCACAUGGUGGAGAGAAACCCCUAGCCAAUUUUCCCUUCUGAAAGAUAAGAGCAAGACACCUGGGUGAACUGGUGGCUGAGGGACCUCCGCUCCUGGAUACAUGUCCGUAAUCAUUCAUGGAGUGAGAAAAUCGGCCUGUAUGUUACCACUAAAGAAGCUAGUCUGUAAGAAUGUAUUGAUUUAAGUAUAUAUAAAAAUACAUAGAGUAAAUUAUAACUCCCCUAGGCACAAUUUCAUUAUAUACCUUAAAAAAUACAUAGAUGCCACUCACUUCACUGCUAACAAAAAUGACAAUAUCAUUUAUCAUUCCAACCAUGGUACUUUUUUUUUUUUUUUUUUGAGUCAGAGUCUUGCUCUGUUGCCCAGGCUGGAGUGCAGUGGUGCAAUCUUGGCUAACUGCAAUCUCCGCCUCCCGGGUUCAAGCGAUUCUCCUGCCUCAGCCUCCCGAGUAGCUGGGACUACAGGCGUGUGCCACCACGCCCAGAUAAUAAUUUUUUGAAUUUUUAGUAGAGAUGAGGUUUCGCCGUGUUAGCCAGGAUGGUCUCAAUCUCCUGACCUCGUGAUCCGCCUGCCUCGGCCUCCCAAAGUGCUGGGAUUACAGGCAUGAGCCACCACACCCGGCCCCAUGGUAUUUUGACUACAAAAUGAGACACAAUACAUGAAAAAGUGGUCUACUGUGGAUCACUACUCUCAAUGAAAAGAAACAAACUAUUGAUACAUUUGACAAACCAAGACUUUCUCCCCAAAACUGGGCUGUGUGGUCCCCUAACUCUACCUGAUAGGGAAAAGAAAAGUGAGUUGGGAAUGAGGAAAGUAUUUUUUUGGAGGGAGGUUUGUUUUAGGUUGGUUUUUGUUGUUGUUAUGAUUUGACUGUGAUUCCUCCAUAGAGUAAAACACAGUCAGUUCUUGUUGUUUGUGGUUAUUAUGUUCUUUAAAGAACAUAAUUGCUGUGAGCACUGAAUUAGCAAAUACUGAACUGUUGCUCCCACGGGAAAUACAGAGGACGUUCCUUCGAGCCUGUGGUCACACAUUGUCAUAAAACAAUCGAUACACGACCUUGUUUUAUGUGUGUUUCUGUUAAAGGACACCUUGUUUAACAUACAGCAUUGAUUUAUUAACAUUGAAUUCAUGACCAACAGUACUAUAACUAACGCUUGAACAAGGCUUAUCAACACAUCUCUUUUCUUCAUACGGUACAUCAAAGACUUCUUGCACUUAGGAAUACUAGAUGGCACUAUAUCACUGUAGUGAAAUCAGCAGCAAAAAGCACAACAUGAGAAAAAUGUGGCACUAAAUAGAACACACACCAAAAGGACAGUUGUGUACAAUAUGAGAUAUAAAACAGGAGCAAGGCAGAAUGUCGCCUUGUUGAACCUCAUCUGGGAACAUGAACUUUGGGUGACAAUUUUUUCGCUGCUCUCCACAUGUCUGUGAAGGGACAUGAAAUAGCUGUGGCUAUUGAUUUGAGAGUUACAGGUAAUUUUAGGGAGUAGGCAGGUCUGUAAAUAUGAAAUCCAUGAGUAAUGAUGACUGACUGUAGAUUCUUGUCCCUAACUCUUAGGUGUACCUUUAUUUAAAGUUAGGCUCACCAAGUAGAUUUCAAGAGGUCUCUAAGAGUGGAUCUAAAAUGGAGAACAAAUGACCUCAGGAGAUGUAGAUAAAAUAUGUCUCUUCAAACUGGUUUUGCACCAGUAAUGAGACAGUGACGCAAGUCCUCUGUAUCCUCGCUGUGCUUGUUUUUGUCCCUAUUUUCAUCAUUCUGCUAGACGUGCAGUAAUACUUUUCUGUGGUUUUAAUUUGCAUUUCUCUAAUAGUACAGUUUGGCAGUUUUUUAAACAGUUAAAUAUUCAACUGCAUUUAUAUAUGACCCAGCAAUUGUACUCUUUGGCAUUUAUUCCAGGGAAAUGAGAACAAACUUGAACAUUGUGGCACAUCUAUUUAUAAUAACCAAGAACUGGAAAUAAUCAGAUAUCUCUCCAUGGAAAAAUGGUUAUUAAACAAAACAUAGUACAACUUACUAUGGAUCACUACUCCCAAUAAAAAGGAACAAACUGUUGAUGCAUUCAGCAACCUUAAUGAAUCACCAAAGAACUAUCCUAAGUGAAAAUAAAGCCAGUUUCCCAAGAUUAUAUAUGGUAGGAUUCCCUUUAUAUAACAUCCUUGAAAUGAGAAAAUGAUAGAAAUGGAGAAUAGACUAGUGGUUGCCAGGGGGUUAAGGUGGGAAUCCAUGCAGGAAGGAAGUGGCUAUAACGAUAAAAGAGAAACAUGAGGAAUCCUUGCUGUGAUGAAAAUGCUCUGAAUCUUGACUGUAUCUAUGUCAGUAUCUUGGUUAUAAUAUUGUCUUAUGCUUUUGCAAGAUGUUACCAUUGGGGAAUACUAGGCAUAAGCACAUGAGAUCCCUCUCUCGUAGUUCUUACAACUCCGUGUGAAUCUAUGAUUACCUCAGUAUAAAAAGCUUAUUUAUAAAUAAAUGAAGGAAAAAUAAAGACUUUCUCAAACCAGCCAAACUACACACCACACACACACACACACACACACACACACACACACACACACACAGAGUUUUAUUCUUUCCAAGUUUGAACUGAUUCUUAUUCCUUCUUCAGUCAUUCAACAAGCUGUUACCCUUUAAAGAGGCUAAGGAGAGAUUAAUUAGAUAUUAGUUCGUAAGAUACAUUUUUCAAAUUUCUUAAAAUAUAUGUACAUGUACAAUUUAGUGAAAGCAAAAAAAACUUUGAUAGUAAUAAUAUUGAAGAUCCAAAUCUGUAUUAAGUCAAAUAUUUAGUGAUAUAAUUUUCAUUUCAAAAUGGUUUUUACAUAAAGUAAAACUGUGUACAAUAAAGUAAAUAAUUUUAAUGCAAUUUAUUCUUUUUUUGGAUGAGGAAACUGAGGCUCCCUUCUUAUGUGGAAAAAUGGUUGGCAUUGCCAUUAGUGCAGAGUUGAUUGGGGCUAAAUUGAUGCACUCUUUGGACCAUAAAGUCAAGAGCAGAUAUGUAAAACCACGAUGUGUCAUUAUGGAUGAUCCAGUUUCUUUUUAAAUCAGAAUCUCUGGGGCAUGAACAAAGUCUUUAUAUAAGGUACUAUUCUGUCUUAUGGGCUCUCUCUAUAUGAUUUUUCUAUAUAUGCAGAUAUAUAAGGAAAGGGCUGACAAUAAUCAUGUAGGAUACAUAAAAUAUUAUUUUCUUUCUGAAAGGAAAGGGAAUGGGCCUCCUCUGGUUAAAAUUUAUAUUAGAUUUCGUAGACUGCUAGGGCUGCCAUCACAAAGUACCACAGACAGGGACACUUAAAGAAAAGAAAUAUAUUGUCUCACGGUUCUGGAGGCUACAAGUCAAAGAUCAAGGAGUCAGUGGGAUUGGUUGCUUCUGAGGCUGUGAGGGGCAAUCUGUUUCAUGCCUCUCUCCUAACUCUGGUUAUUUGCCGGCCAUUUUUGGUGUCCCUUGGCUUAUAGAAUCAUUGCUCCAAUCCCUGACUUACCUUCACGUGUUGUUCUUCCUGUGUGAGUCUGUCUUUGUGUUCAAAUUGCUUCCUUUAAUAAGGACACCAGUCAUACUGGAUUAGGGUCCCACCCUCAUCCGUGAAGUAUGACCUCAUACUAACUAAUUACAUCUUCAAUGACCCUAUUUCCAAAUAUGACCACAGACUGAGGCACUGCAGGUUAAGGCUUCAACAUAAGAAUUUUGGGGGACACAAUUCAACUCAUAACAGAUUUUCUCUCUCAUUCUUACCCCAUGGAUAGGAUAUAACAGACAAAGCCCUCUUUAGGUUAUCAAAUAAAUUGUGCCCAAGAUGCAAUGGGCGAAAAGUGUCCUAAGCAACAUAAAGAUAAGCAGCCAUUGUAAUAGAUAUAUUUUUGGCCUUAUUUUAUCUAAAUCAAAAGAUUAAAAGUAAAACUCUGAAUGCACUAUAUUUGCAAAAUGUUUACAAUUAGCCCCAUAAUUUUCUUUUGCAUUAAUAUUAGAAGAAAACUAAACAUUUUCUAAAACUUAUUACUUUCUGAAUGUUUUGAACGUGCUGAUGUAAAUUUUUCAACUCUAAGUGUAGGUGACCAAAAUUAUUAGAAUGUUUAAUCUAAAAUAAAUUUUAAACAAACA
rnacentral:lncRNA from 1 species